GGUCUGCGGCCGGAGAAGAAGGCCCCUUCACUAGUGACAUCUGCAAAGACCCCAUUUCCAAAUAAAGCCACCUUCUGAGAUUCCAGGUGGAGCCUCCUGAACUCACUCACUACACCAGCCACGACCUCUUGGUUGUGGGCGUUUGCUAGUACAACACUGUGUCCCCAUCGCCCUGCCCUGCCUGCACCCAGAGCUGGCCGCCCCAUCCUCCCCGGGACAGGCCUCUCUUGAGGUCUGGCCUCGGCCUUUGGGCGCCCGGUCUCCAGGGUCCUUGCGCAGGAGGAACGGAGCCCCGCCCUCCGUGAGGGCAGAAAUGAUGGCACCCCAGACCUGGACAGGGGAACGGAGCCUGCACAGCUUCCCUGGAACAGCUUCCCAGGGCCAUUUCUGUCAUUUAAGGCAAUUACAGGCGAGUCCAAGUGCCCAAUAAACCACAGCAAUUCA